AUGAACUGCUUCCCCUUUCCCAGAGGCUGUGACAAUUCUGUCUUUGUUCCCAGUGAAGUAAAUGGUAGAGAAACCGAGGCUGUUCACGUUACACUCGGUCAAGAAGUCCUCUGGAACCCGGGGAAGGCUUGAGGCUCAGCAGCAAUGGAGGCAGCACUUGGCCAACGGAUGAGUCAUUGUCCAACGAGUACACAUUCAGCGCCUGCGACUUCCAGCAACGUGGGAGGACGUCGCAUGGAAGGAAAACUACACAGGCUGCGGCCACGGGACUCCCAUAAACGCUGCCCCUGCCCACGUCACACACCAUUUGCCAGGAAGUGUUAUAGAAACAGCAGUGAACCAGGAGGCAGGAGCCCAGUAGCAGGGGGCUGCCCCUGACUAGCCCCUCCUCUUCCGGGCUCCAUCUCCCCACCUGCACAAUGGAC
rnacentral:lncRNA from 1 species